AAAUUGAAGAGUUUGAUCAUGGCUCAGAUUGAACGCUGGCGGCAGGCCUAACACAUGCAAGUCGAACGGUAACAGGAAACAGCUUGCUGUUUCGCUGACGAGUGGCGGACGGGUGAGUAAUGUCUGGGAAACUGCCUGAUGGAGGGGGAUAACUACUGGAAACGGUAGCUAAUACCGCAUAAUGUCGCAAGACCAAAGAGGGGGACC
rnacentral:rRNA from 1 species